UCAGGUACAACUAAUUUGACAGGCAGUAUGAUAAGGAACAAUCUGAAUGACACGUAAACAGGAGGGGGUAAAUUCCAAGCACAGCCUGAAUGAGAAGUACAACUCAUUUCCUGUAACCUAGAUGCCUUUUUAACACAUCUAUGCAGUCUCCAUGUGAAACCAGGUGCUGUUCCCAAAGGAGAAAACACUGCCCUCCAGUGGUCUUCAAUGAAGAAAUGGAAAUAGUUUCAGUGGAAACCAGGCUUCUUGGAAGACUUCAAACUAUGCCAAAUGGUCUGAUUUCACCAUAGAAAUGUUAUACUAUUAAUUGCCAAUUUGCAUAUGUGUGCAGCUGCUGUUUUGGCUCUGAACUCAAUCCGAUAAGCUUGCUGGAGGUAUCGCAGAUUCUUUGCUGAAGAAUGCAGCUGUAUUAAAGGAAGAAAGAAAACCAAGCUACAGCUCCUUAUAAUUCAACAAGCAUUUAAAAGGUUUAUAAAGAUGGUGCAAUUAUGUAUUUAAGCUGCUUCAACACAAGUUCUUGCCUUUCACUCCCACCCUGUGGCUUACACUGGUAUUACAUCUAUUCUGACAUUUAAAAAUCAACAUUAAA
rnacentral:lncRNA from 1 species